rnacentral:rRNA from 1 species
UACAGAGGGGGCAAGCGUUGUUCGGAAUUACUGGGCGUAAAGCGUGCGCAGGCGGUUUUGUAAGUCUGUCGUGAAAUCCCCGGGCUCAACCUGGGAAUUGCGAUGGAGACUGCAAGGCUAGAAUCUGGCAGAGGGGGGUAGAAUUCCACGUGUGAGCAGUGAAAUGCGUAGAGAUGUGGAGGAACACCGAUGGCGAAGGCAGCCCCCUGGGUCAAGAUUGACGCUCAUGCACGAAAGCGUGGGGAGCAAACAGG